GAGAGGUAGUGACGAAAAAUAACAAUGCAGGACUCGUUCGAGGCCCUGUAAUUGGAAUGAGUACACUUUAAAAGCUUUAACGAGUAUCCAUUGGAGGGCAAGUCUGGUGCCAGCAGCCGCGGUAAUUCCAGCUCCAAAAGUAUAUAUUUAAGUUGUUGCGGUUAAAAAGCUCGUAGUUGGAUUUUGGGCGCAGGCGGCCGGUCCGUCGCAAGGCGUGUACUGGACGUCCUGGCCUUCCCUCCGGUUCUCCGCCGGUGCUCUUGACUGAGUGUCGGCGGCGGCCGGAACGUUUACUUUGAAAAAAUUAGAGUGUUCAAAGCAGGCUCUCGAGCCUGGAUAAUGGUGCAUGGAAUAAUGGAAUAGGACCUCGGUUCUAUUUUGUUGGUUUUCGGAGCGCGAGGUAAUGAUUAAGAGGGACAGACGGGGGCAUUCGUACUGUGCCGUUAGAGGUGAAAUUCUUGGAUCGGCGCAAGACGAACGACUGCGAAAGCAUUUGCCAAGAAUGUUUUCUUUAAUCAAGAGCGAAAGUCAGAGGUUCGAAGACGAUCAGAUACCGUCCUAGUUCUGACUAUAAACGAUGCCAACCAGCGAUCGGGGGGCGUUACAUUGACGACCCCUCCGGCAGCUUACGGGAAACCAAAGUCUUUGGGUUCCGGGGGAAGUAUGGUUGCAAAGCUGAAACUUAAAGGAAUUGACGGAAGGGCACCACCAGGAGUGGAGCCUGCGGCUUAAUUUGACUCAACACGGGAAAUCUCC
rnacentral:ncRNA from 1 species